UCCCGGCUAGCUCAGUUGGUAGAGCGACAGACUCUUAAUAAAAGGUCUGGAUGCAUGUGCAUUCAACAAAUCUGUAGGUCCAGGGUUCGAGCCCCUGGUUGGGAG